rnacentral:tRNA from 1 species
CAGGGAGACAACACAAUGAUUUUGAUGCCUGAGUGCUUUUAUUCUUAGGCCGAAAUCCUGUCACCUUAGGUCGAUCGGUACCUCAGCUUUGAAGUUAAGGAUCAGCAGCAAUGUUGAUUGCUUGAUGGAGAUUUUCAGUUCCUAAACUUUGUCUAGGUCACACCCCAAAAGGGAUGAGACUCCUGGGCCAUUAGCUCAGGUGGUUAGAGCGCACCCCUGAUAAGGGUGAGGUCCCUGGUUCAAGUCCAGGAUGGCCCAUUCGGUGUUGGGGGUUUAGCUCAGUUGGUAGAGCGCCUGCUUUGCAAGCAGGAUGUCAGGAGUUCGAGUCUCCUAACCUCCACUGACCGAACUUGAUUCCCAUCUCCAAUUUUUUGGAGUUGAGCUCGAUUGGAGUGUGAUUUAGAUUUGUCCGCUGGAUGACCCCAGCUUCCUGUCAUUCCAAGUUUUAGGUUGAUGCCUUGAAUUUGGUUGAUAAGAUGCUGGGCUCGGAUCAAAUGAUCAAGCAAUUGAUGAUUUGAUUUGAAGUUCUAGCAGAACCUUGACAACUGCAUAGGUGAGUCUGGAAAAAACAAAGCAUCUUACAGAUGCAUUGUUUUGAAUCUGAUCUUCUGAAAGGGAGAUUGGAUCUAGAACAAUGAAAAUUCUUUUGAGCAAGAGCCGAGACUCUUGAACGUUCUUUGAUUGGUGUCGAGCCAAUCAGAGUUUGAUCUUGUUUUUAGCAAUAAAAACUUGAGAAUCUGCUUUCAACGGCGGUAAGCGUUCAGGAGGUUAAUU